CUAUUCUUUAGAAGUAGUUGCAUUAAUUGGGAAAGUCAUGUUUUUUCCUUCAUACUUAAUGGUCAUAUGAGAAAUCACAACUAUACUUAUUAAAGGAAUACAAAAACAAAUCAGCCCAUUCCCAGAAACAUACUGCGCUCCUCCAGAGGAUGGACACCUUGUGCCAUCCACCUCAGUAGGGCCUUGCCAUUGCCUGAGUCAGGGGAGGGGUGCAGCAGUUAGAGAAUAGUCAACUUCAAUCAUCUGCCAGCUCAGGGUGUCUUGUAACUAUACUGAAAAUGCAGGAACCUUUCACUCUUCCCUUCUCACUGAUAGAAAAUUCAGACAGGAGAGAGAAAUUAUAAGUUUAAAUAAAAUCUGGAAUUUUCAUUAUUUUAUGAAAGGAGGCUUUAUUUUCAGAAUCAAGAUAGUAUUUUCAAACCUGAUUAUCUGAAAAAAAACCUUUUAAAUGCACAAAAUGUAGCACAAAAUUCAUCAGUUAACCUAUUUCUAAUUAACAGUUUGGGAAAGAUUUCCUUACUGAUUUAAAAGAACAGUAAAAAAUUUAAAAGAACAGUACGAGGUGAAAACAAAGAUUCUUUCUGAUAUAUCCCAUGAGAAUUAUUUGUUUAAUAUAUCAGAUAUGCACAUAGAAUUUAAUUUGCAUAAUACUAUAAUAUGUCCUAUUAUUUUUGAGUAAUGUUAUGAUUUUAAAGAUGAGUAAACUAAGAUACAGAG
rnacentral:lncRNA from 1 species